rnacentral:rRNA from 1 species
UACAGGGGGGCAAGCGUUGUUCGGAAUUACUGGCGUAAAGCGCGUGUAGGCUGCUUCGCAAGUCGGUGUGAAGCCCUGGGCUCAACCUAGGAAGUGCAUUCGAAACUGCGAGCUUGAGUCCUGGAGAGGAAGGGCGGAAUUCUCGGUGUAGAGGUGAAAUUCGUAGAUAUCGAAGAGGAACACCGGUGGCGAAGGCGGCCUUCUGGACAGUGACUGACGCUGAGACGCGAAGCGUGGGGAGCAAACAGG